AUUGAACGCUGGCGGCAGGCCUAACACAUGCAAGUCGAGCGAGCGGCGGACGGUUGAGUAAUGUCUGGGAAACUGCCUGAUGGAGGGGGAUAACUACUGGAUACGGUAGUUAAUCCCGCAUACCAUCAGAUGUGCCCAGAUGGGAUUAGCUAGUAGGGGGGGUAACGGCUCACCUAGGCGACGAUCCCUAGCUGGUCGGAGAGGAUGACCAGCCACACUGGGACUGAGACACGGUCCAGACUCCUACGGGAGGCAGCAGUAGGGAAUAUUGCACAAUGGGGGCAAGCCUGAUGCAGCCAUGCCGCGUGUGUGAAGAAGGCCUUCGGGUUGUAAAGCACUUUCGGCGGGGAGGCGUUACCCGCAAAUGAAGCACCGGCUAACUCCGUGCCAGCCGCCGCGGUAAUAC
rnacentral:rRNA from 1 species